rnacentral:rRNA from 1 species
UAGGGAAUAUUGCAAAAUGGGCGAAAGCCCGAUGCAGCAACGCCGCGUGGGCGAUGAAGGCCUUCGGGUCGUAAAGCCCUUUUUGAGGGGAUGAGGAAGGACAGUACCCUCAGAAUAAGCCUCGGCUAACUACGUGCCAGCAGCCGCGGUAAAACGUAGGAGGCGAGCGUUAUCCGGAUUUACUGGGCGUAAAGCGCGUGCAGGCGGAUUGGAGAGUUGGAUGUGAAAGCUCCCGUCUUAACUGGGAGAGGUCGUUCAAUACUUCCAGUCUUGAGUGCAGUAGAGGGAAGUGGAAUUCCGGGUGUAGUGGUGAAAUGCGUAGAUAUCCGGAGGAACACCAGUGGCGAAAGCGGCUUCCUGGACUGUAACUGACGCUCAGACGCGAAAGCUAGGGUAGCAAACG